rnacentral:rRNA from 1 species
GAGGAAUAUUGGUCAAUGGGCGGAAGCCUGAACCAGCCAAGUAGCGUGCAGGAAGACGGCCCUAUGGGUUGUAAACUGCUUUUAUACGAGAAUAAUUUGAUGCACGUGUGCGUUAUUGCAUGUAUCGUAUGAAUAAGGACCGGCUAAUUCCGUGCCAGCAGCCGCGGUAAUACGGAAGGUCCAGGCGUUAUCCGGAUUUAUUGGGUUUAAAGGGAGUGUAGGCGGUUUGUUAAGCGUGUUGUGAAAUUUAGAUGCUCAACAUUUAACUUGCAGCGCGAACUGUCAGACUUGAGUACACGCAACGUAUGCGGAAUUCAUGGUGUAGCGGUGAAAUGCUUAGAUAUCAUGAAGAACUCCGAUUGCGAAGGCAGCAUACGGGAGUGUAACUGACGCUUAAGCUCGAAGGUGCGGGUAUCGAACAGGAUUAGAUACCCUGGUAGUCCGCACAGUAAACGAUGGAUGCCCGCUGUUAGCGCCUGGCGUUAGCGGCUAAGCGAAAGCAUUAAGCAUCCCACCUGGGGAGUACGCCGGCAACGGUG